UGGUCCCAGCUCCAGAUUUGUUUGUCUA
rnacentral:piRNA from 1 species